rfam:Rattus norvegicus chromosome 14, whole genome shotgun sequence.
GGGGAUUUAGCUCAGUGGUAGAGCACUUGCCUAGCAAGCACAAGGCCCUGGGUUCAGUCCUCA